rnacentral:rRNA from 1 species
CCUACGGGAGGCUGCAGUGAGGAAUAUUGGUCAAUGGACGAGAGUCUGAACCAGCCAAGUAGCGUGAAGGAUGACUGCCCUAUGGGUUGUAAACUUCUUUUAUAUGGGAAUAAAAUGUUCCACGUGUGGGAUUUUGUAUGUACCAUAUGAAUAAGGAUCGGCUAACUCCGUGCCAGCAGCCGCGGUAAUACGGAGGAUCCGAGCGUUAUCCGGAUUUAUUGGGUUUAAAGGGAGCGUAGGUGGAUUGUUAAGUCAGUUGUGAAAGUUUGCGGCUCAACCGUAAAAUUGCAGUUGAAACUGGCAGUCGUGAGUACAGUAGAGGUGGGCGGAAUUCGUGGUGUAGCGGUGAAAUGCUUAGAUACCACGAAGAACUCCGAUUGCGAAGGCAGCUCACUGGACUGCAACUGACACUGAGGCUCGAAAGUGUGGGUAUCAAACAGGAUUAGAUACCCCUGUAGUC